rnacentral:rRNA from 1 species
UACAGAGGGUGCGAGCGUUGUCCGGAAUCACUGGGCGUAAAGGGCGCGUAGGCGGCGCGGUAAGCGUGCGGUGAAAGCCCGGGGCUCAACCCCGGGUCGGCCGUGCGGACUGCCGGGCUGGAGCACUGUAGAGGCAGGUGGAAUUCCGGGUGUAGCGGUGGAAUGUGUAGAGAUCCGGAAGAACACCGGUGGCGAAGGCGGCCUGCUGGGCAGUAGCUGACGCUGAAGCGCGACAGCGUGGGGAGCAAACAGG